AUGCCUACUAACCGACUAUAUAGUAGGCAAAAACAGUAUGUGAAGAAAGAAGUACGUUUGAAAGCUAAAAGAGUAGGCGAGAAAUCCCCGGAUGUCCUACUGCUUCAACCCAGAUUUUGGAGUGUUCAUCGAUGGAUACUUUUCAAUCCCAAGAGUCCACGGGAGAGCAAUACGUCAUCAUCGAACGUGAUUGAGAACCGCGACGAAGGUGUUUACAAAUGGACAGAUGAGACACACGUCUGUGUACCCAGUGCAGAGUGACUGAUAAAGGAAUGCUGCCACCAAAGGCUUUGAAUCUUUUGUGGUGGAGCAGGACCUGCAAUGAAUGGUGACAUUUGUGGGGGAAAAAAGGAAAACCUGAUAUAAAAUAUAAAACUGGUGUUUGGACUGAGAAAGGAGAAAUCCACAGCAGUAUCCUGGAAAUGGUCUAGUGCCAUGGAUGAGACCCUCCAUCACUCCACCUGCCCUUGUUCCCUCAUCUGAACCAGAUGUUUCUGUGGCCUCUUCAUCAUCAGUGAGCUCAGAGUCUGAGAGAGCAUCUUGAAAAAGACUAAAAGAAACUGAGGAUGUGAUUUUGGUCAAGUUUGUUCUGCUGGUUUCAUCGGUCAAUGGAGCCUGAGUUUCAGAAGCUUCAAAAGCAUCAUCAAAUAAUGUCAUGAAGCUUCUGAAACUCAGGCUCCAUUGACUGAUGUUGUACGAACAGAAACCAGCAGGACAGACUUAACCAAAAUCACCUUGUGUUUUCAGAAUAAAACAAAAAACAAAAACAGAUGGAAAGU